GUAGGGAAUAUUGCGCAAUGGGGGAAACCCUGACGCAGCGACGCCGCGUGAGUGAUGAAGGCCUUCGGGUCGUAAAGCUCUGUUGCAGGGGAAUAAAAAAAUGAAGGUACCCUGUGAGGAAGGAUCGGCUAACUUCGUGCCAGCAGCCGCGGUAAGACGAGGCAUCCUAGCGUUGCUCGGAAUCAUUGGGCGUAAAGAGGGCGUAGGUGGCUUGGUAAGUCAGGUGUGAAAGCCCAGGGCUCAACCCUGGAAGUGCAUUUGAUACUGCUGAGCUUGAGUGUCGGAGAGGUUACCGGAAUACCUGGUGUAGUGGUGAAAUACGUAGAUAUCAGGUGGAACACCGGAGGCGAAGGCGGGUAACUGGACGAACACUGACACUGAGGCCCGAAAGCGUGGGGAUCAAACAGGAUUAGAAACCCGUGUAGUCC
rnacentral:rRNA from 1 species